CCUGUGCCCCCCGCUCCUCCCAGGGCGCACACGCCGUCUCGUCCUAGGCGGCGGCGGGAGAGUAACGAAGCCAUUAAGCGAAGGGUUUGGAGGGCUCGGCAAUGAAGAGCUCAUCCUGCAGCAGCAGCACCAUGGGUAGAGUUAAAGUGAAUGUGCUGCCUCAAGCAAUCCUGCAAAGCCCAGGGGAGCAUCCCAGGUUCAUAAAGCAGACUCUUGGCCCCUCAUUAGACUCUGCAAGGAUUCAUUUGAUCAAAGACAAAGACGGCAUAGAUGAUUAUUUGGCAAAGAAUAUCAAAGGACUGUCAAAACAAGAAGCUGCUGCUAACAGGAAUUCAUACAAGAAGAACAUCUGCAUAGACAUGCUGCGACAGGGUUAUCACAAGUCCUUCUCCGAGCUCUUCGCUCUGAUAGAGAAGUGGAAUGCCUUGAGGGAGGCUGCAGGGCCUGGGUCAGCCAUAUGGCAGCAGAAGUCCCUGGAGGAGCAGCCUGAUAAGCUGGAUCAGCUUUACCACUUCCUGACCAGGGCUGAGGCAGCCCAGCGAGCAGGGCACUAUGAGGAGGUGUAUGAUAACCAGCUUAACUUGGCCUACUAUUUCAAUGACCCUGAGGACAAGUGGUUAAGUGAUUACUUUCAUGAGGAAUGCUUUAACACUGCUAAACUAAUAACAACUGAUAUCAGGAAAAGAGAGGCACAAGCACAUGCAAAUAUGGGCCUCAUCAAAGAGGAACAAGGUCAUGCCUUGAAAGCUGCUGAGUAUUAUGAAAUAUUUUAUCAUCUAACGGUUGGUUCAACAUGGAAGGAUGUGACAGGCCGUACUUACAAUUCACUGGCAUCUGAGUAUCUCUGGAGAAUUUAUACAUUACUAGCAGACAAAAUGCUAGAAAAUAAUGAACACCAACAGGCCAUCAAAACAUUAAAAAAAGCUUUAAAAAUGGCAAAAAAUGUAGGUGAAAUGAAGAUCCAAGGAGAAGCUACAUAUUGCCUGAGUUUAGCGUAUUAUUUUGCUGGAGAAAACCAGACAGCAUUAUCAACUUUGGACACCUCUGUAAAAAUCUUCACACCACUUUGUGAUUCUGCUGGCCUAAGCAGAGCAUAUGCAGCUAUAGCCAAGAUCCUGGUAAGUCAGGGAAAAGCAGCUGAAACUACAAAGCACUUGGAAGAGUUCAUGAAGGCUGCUGAGAACGCUCAUCUAAGACAAAGCCUGGUGGAUGCAUGUGUAUUACUUGGGAAUAUUUACAAUGAAAAAGGGAGCUAUAAUGAAGCUUGUGAAUAUUUCAGUCAGGCUUACGAAACAGCAAAAACUUUAAAUAAUUUGCCCUUAGUGGAUGAAACAAAAGCUUACUAUGGCAUUGCAAAGGCUCAUAAGCUGAUGGUGCCAUUUAAUAGCCAUAUAGUAGCAGAAGAUCUCAUCAGCCUCAAGUAUCUGCUGGCAUGGAAAGAGAACAGAAGUGACAUGUGCACUGACCCUCUUACAGUUGCUUAACUUUUAAUUUUUUACUUUAUGGUGUCCUCAGCCUGCUGAUUUUCCUAUUUACUUUCUUUACGUAGUCAAGACCUACAUUUAAAAGAACAAAACAUAAAAGUACAAGAUGCCUGCUUACUUACAGAGAAGCUAGUAAUGAGUACAGGAAGAUCACUGAAGAGUCAUGCAACCAAGUAGGAAUUUUGCUAGGAGUUUUGUCAUUUAAAUGGAAGCACAGUGUUACAGUAUAAAUAUCUGAGAGCUGGAAGUUCUUUUAUGACUGAAAUGUGGCUUCAAUGUGUAUUGCAUGUUUUUAAUCAAAAAUAGCUGGUGUCAUUGAAAUAAAUACAAAAGAAAAAGAGUAAUACAGAAUAAAAACUUUUCAUGUUGUGCCCCAAAUGCUUAUUGCCUUUCAAAGCGUCAAGAUCCUCCUGUUAAGAUAAUAAACGUACUUUAUGCCUACUGAGUGGGAAUCCAAGAUGCACAAUACCUUGUAAGAUCAGGUUCUGAACGUGCCUGGAGAGUUUUCGUUAAACGCCAAAUUAUUGUCCCUUUCAGAAAAAAACAACUACAAGCUUGACACCUUAUUCAUAGGGCUAUCAGUGAUUUUAGCAGCUGUGCUUAACAGUUGCUGUUCAACUGUAGCUUAAAUAGAGUAGAUCCAACAUGGGUGGCACAUUAUGAUGCGAUUUUUACCUAAUCUAUAACGCAGGUCGGACCCAAAGCACAACUGUUUGUUUAAAAUCUGGUUGAGUACGCUCAUGAAAGUGUUGAAAGCCUGUACAAUCAAAGCAUUUGAAAUGUCAUUGACUGUCUCAAGUGCAAUGUUAAUCUACAGGCACAGCUGAAAUAACUGUAUUUAACAAUGAAAGUACAUCUGGUAGAAUACCUGUACAUCACAUUUUCAAAAGUGAACACGAAAUUUCCCUUUGAGCAAAGCCUGUGUUCAUUCACACAAUCAGGUAAAAAAAAUCUGCUUCAAUUCUUUCUAAUAAAUAAUCUGAAGCACUGAUUUUGGAGUGUGUGUAGAGAAUUGUCUCCCAUUUCAAGCUGAUGAAAUUCUUGACUGUGGAUUCCCCAUACAAUCCACAGCAGUCAGACUCCUGUUGUCUUCACAGUCCUCAGAAGGCAUUUUCCAGCUGCCAUUGCUAUUGGUCCAAAGAAAAGUUAGAGGACAGAAGAUGGAGGUUAUCACUUUGCAAAAUACAUGUAAAAGCAGGAUUUAGAACCUUUAACUUUUAUCUGGUGCAAGCUUUCAUAAUUUCAUGUAUUAGAAAAUCUGUUCUUUCAAACCACAUAAAAAGAGCUUUCUGAAUCCAAACAGUCAACCACUUGUUUCUUUAAACAGAGGUUUCCAGAUUCAGCAUUUGAAACAAGAUCCAUUAGACCUGUAAUCAGUUUUUAUGGCAGUCUUUGAGCAAACAAUAGCUUUUGCCAUAGUAAUAACUCAAUUCACAGUUUUCUUCAGGAUUGCAGUUUGAGUAACUGGUUGACAUGGGACAAUAGAAUUUCUCCCUGUUUUAAGGCAUGGUAAAAACGUUUUCAUUAAACGUUUCAUUAACUAGCUCUUAUUAGACCAUUUUUGAUGGUCUAAUAAGAGUAUACAUAAUGUACACAUUUUGAUGUGUAUAUGCAAUG